rnacentral:rRNA from 1 species
UACGGAGGGAGCUAGCGUUAUUCGGAAUUACUGGGCGUAAAGCGCACGUAGGCGGCUUUGUAAGUUAGAGGUGAAAGCAUGGAGCUCAACUCCGGAAUUGCCUUUAAGACUGCAUCGCUAGAAUUGUGGAGAGGUAAGUGGAAUUCCGAGUGUAGAGGUGAAAUUCGUAGAUAUUCGGAAGAACACCAGUGGCGAAGGCGACUUACUGGACACAUAUUGACGCUGAGGUGCGAAAGCGUGGGGAGCAAACAGG